rnacentral:lncRNA from 1 species
GGCAGGACCCAGAGGUCAACAUGUUCUAAAACUCCCUCAAGAGAUUCUAGGGCAGCUGAAGUUGGGGACCAGUGAUCUUAGGUGCUUCUGAAACUUUCGUGUCUAAUACAAGUCAUGUGGGAAUCUCCUUAAAAUGCAGAUCUGAAUCAGCAGGUCUGGGUGGGGCUAAGAUACAGCGUUUCUAACCUGCUGCCAGAUGAGGUCUAUGUUCUUGUCUACAAAACAGCAAGGCCUAGAUUUCAAGGUGCUGGAAGACGCUGCUUUGUUGCUGGGUUAGGUGAAGUUCUCUGAAGUUCAGAGGCUGGAAAGUUGACUGCCUGCGGGGAGGACACAAGCAGGCAGGCCCCGGGGAGAAGAAACGGUAAAGCAGGAACGGGAAGGACAGUAUCCCUUGAAGACAAAGCAGUGGAAGGAAAUGCAGCGGUCUGUCAGCCCAUUUGUCUAUCUCAGCUUCGAGAUGCAGAGAAGCAGGUGAACUACUACCGCCCCUCACUCUGUUUUUAUAAAGCCACUGUGCAGAGUAUGCUGUCCAAAAAGAAAAAAAAAAAAUGGGAAGAACAAAGAGUGUCAGUAGCUAUUUAGACGGAAAGACAAUAAUGCUCUUUCUAGAGUGUCCAUUAAUGCCAAUUUGCUGUGAAACUUUCCAAAGCUAAUGAGAUAUUAAAUGUGUUUUGUCAAGGGAAGAAGCUGAUUAGUCUUUGGUUUGAUUUUUUAAAUGUAAUUGGCACGGAAAAGUACAUGGCUUAAAUUUUGGAAGUAACUUUCAUUCAGAGCCCUGUCGAAAUAUGACUGGACUUGUGAAGGAAAUGAAGACCCCUUAGCUGAGAACUUGACAGCAGUUAUGAAGCAUGACUUCUCCUCUGGAUGGGGUUGAUCAUAGGACUUUUCUUGGUAUUUGUAGGGAUCCCUGAGCCCCUUGUGUAGAUGCCUGAACAUUUUAUCUUCCACACGUCACUGUCAUGGCUUUCAAAGACCGUUUCAUUCUGAGAGGGGUUUUUAGAACUUAGGGCUUUCCAGAUAACCCUUCACACAUGGAUGAACCCAGUAAUCAAUAGUCAACCUGUUACAAAACCUACAGAUAGCUAAUAUGGAACAUCAUGUUGUAUAACACACAGAUAAUGCUCUACUUGGUGUAAGGCAUUUGGUAUUAUGGA